CGAACGCAGUAGCAAUACUGAGUGGCGCACGGGUGAGUAACGCGUGGGAAUAUGCCCUUUAGUUCGGAAUAACCAAGGGAAACUUUGGCUAAUACCGGAUACGCCCUUCGGGGGAAAGAUUUAUCGCUAAAGGAUUAGCCCGCGUGAGAUUAGGUAGUUGGUGGGGUAAUGGCCUACCAAGCCUACGAUCUCUAGCUGGUCUGAGAGGAUGACCAGCCACACUGGAACUGAGACACGGUCCAG
rnacentral:rRNA from 1 species